AGAUGUGAGGGCAAUCUGGCUGUGACAUCUGUCACCCCACUGAUGGCCAGGUUGAUUUGGCUGAUCCUGCUGGCUAGGCAGGUGUCCCUUCCUCCCUCACCACUCCAUGUGCAUCCGUCCCAAAGCUGGGCACUCUGUUGAAGAGGACAACCUUCCCUGAUAGAGGAGGGCCCUUCUUGGGUCAAGGGUAUAGGAUAGCCACACUCUCCUGCUAGAACCUCCAAACAAGCUCUCAAACUUGAUUUGUGGGAGAACUAAGGGUAGUCAAGCUUCCGAGACUCCAGAUGCAUCCAAAUGAGGCACUGCACAUGGCAGUCUGCCUUUUUUU
rfam:Felis catus isolate Cinnamon breed Abyssinian chromosome B2, whole genome shotgun sequence.